rnacentral:rRNA from 1 species
UACAGAGGGUGCGAGCGUUGUUCGGAAUUAUUGGGCGUAAAGGGCGCGCAGGCGGUGCGGUAAGUCACCUGUGAAAUCUCCUGGCUCAACUGGGAGCUUGCAGGCGAAACUGCCGUGCUGGAGUGUGGGAGAGGUGCGUGGAAUUCCUGGUGUAGCGGUGAAAUGCGUAGAUAUCAGGAGGAACACCUGUGGCGAAAGCGGCGCACUGGACCACAACUGACGCUGAGGCGCGAAAGCUAGGGGAGCAAACGGG